GAAAAAUAUUAGAUUGGUGCAAAAGUAAUUGUGGUUUUUGCCAUUAAAAGCAAUGGCAAAAACAGCAGUUACUUUUCACCAACCAAAUACAA
rnacentral:miRNA from 10 species